rnacentral:lncRNA from 1 species
GCGGCGGACGCGGUCGAGGAGGAAGGCGGCGCAUCCGUUGUAGCAGUCGUGGGUCUCCCGGAUGCUGCCGUGGACGGGCGACGGCACGCCGAGGGCGGCCGCGACCCGGGCCUCGCGGGCCAGGUACGCGCCGCGCACCAGCUUGACCCCCAGGCGCACGCGCGCGCGCUCCACGCCGCGCGCCAUGGUCUCCAGCCGCUCCCGCGCGUCGCGUAGGUACGCCUGGACCGUGCCGUGCACGAUGGAGCGCUCGGCGUUGCACGCCAGCGCGCCGGCGAGCGUGAGGUAGUCGAUCGCCGGCUGCACCGCCGCGUACUCCGCGUCCACCAGCAGCGGCAC